AGUGAACGCUGGCGGUAGGCCUAACACAUGCAAGUCGAACGGCAGCACAGUAAGAGCUUGCUCUUACGGGUGGCGAGUGGCGGACGGGUGAGGCAUACAUCGGAAUCUACUUUUUCGUGGGGGAUAACGUAGGGAAACUUACGCUAAUACCGCAUACGACCUACGGGUGAAAGCAGGGGAUCUUCGGACCUUGCGCGAUUGAAUGAGCCGAUGUCGGAUUAGCUAGUUGGCGGGGUAAAGGCCCACCAAGGCGACGAUCCGUAGCUGGUCUGAGAGGAUGAUCAGCCACACUGGAACUGAGACACGGUCCAGACUCCUACGGGAGGCAGCAGUGGGGAAUAUUGGACAAUGGGCGCAAGCCUGAUCCAGCCAUACCGCGUGGGUGAAGAAGGUCUUCGGGUUGUAAAGCCCUGUUGUUGGGAAAGAAAAGCAGCAGGUUAAUACCCCGCUGUUCUGACGGUACCCAAAGAUUAAGCACCGGCUAACUUCGUG
rnacentral:rRNA from 1 species